UGGUUUAGUUGGUAGAGCAUGGCGCUUGCAAUGCCAAGGGAUGUGGGUUCGAUUCCCAC
rnacentral:tRNA from 1 species